UACGAAGGGGGCUAGCGUUGCUCGGAAUCACUGGGCGUAAAGCGCACGUAGGCGGAUCUUUAAGUCAGGGGUGAAAUCCUGGAGCUCAACUCCAGAACUGCCUUUGAUACUGGAGAUCUCGAGUCCGGAAGAGGUGAGUGGAACUCCGAGUGUAGAGGUGAAAUUCGUAGAUAUUCGCAAGAACACCAGUGGCGAAGGCGGCUCACUGGUCCGGUACUGACGCUGAGGUGCGAAAGCGUGGGGAGCAACAGG
rnacentral:rRNA from 1 species